UACGUAGGGCGCAAGCGUUAUCCGGAAUUAUUGGGCGUAAAGAGCUCGUAGGCGGUUUGUCGCGUCUGCCGUGAAAGUCCGGGGCUCAACCUCGGACUUGCAGUGGGUACGGGCAGACUAGAGUGUGGUAGGGGAGACUGGAAUUCCUGGUGUAGCGGUGGAAUGCGCAGAUAUCAGGAGGAACACCGAUGGCGAAGGCAGGUCUCUGGGCCAUUACUGACACUGAGAAGCGAAAGCAUGGGGAGCGAACAGG
rnacentral:rRNA from 1 species